UACGAAGGGGGCUAGCGUUGCUCGGAAUUACUGGGCGUAAAGGGCGCGUAGGCGGAUAGUUUAGUCAGAGGUGAAAGCCCAGGGCUCAACCUUGGAAUUGCCUUUGAUACUGGCUAUCUUGAGUUCGGGAGAGGUGAGUGGAAUGCCGAGUGUAGAGGUGAAAUUCGUAGAUAUUCGGCGGAACACCAGUGGCGAAGGCGACUCACUGGCCCGAUACUGACGCUGAGGCGCGAAAGCGUGGGGGAGCAAACAGG
rnacentral:rRNA from 1 species